CAGGGCUUCACUAAGUUGCUGAAGCUGGCCUCCAACUUGCAAUCCUCCUGCCUCAGCCUCCCAAGUUGGGGGGAUAGCAAGUGAGUGCCACCAAGCCCAGCUCAACAUUGAUUUUGAGUUGUGGAUUUAAAUAGGAAAGAAGUGUUCAACCUUGUUAUGGUUUAGGUAAUGAAGUGUCCCCCCCCCCCCAAACAAAAACGGUGGGCCCUUCUGCCAUGAUAUUCUGCCUGACCUCAGGGCCCAGAGCUAUGGAGUCAGUCAUCUACGGAUUGAGACUUCUGAAAUCCUGAGCCAAAUAGACUGUUCCUCUUCUAGUUGUUUUUUUCAGAUCUUUGGGUCACAGUAAUGAGAAAGGUCACAAUAGUCCUCCAUAGUGAGUAUGGUCAGCCACUGGCCAUGCUGAGUUUUCACACUAGUAAAAUUAAUUUUGACACUAGAGGAAUUAAUUUCACGUACCACUUGAAGUUUGUAGAGGCCAUAAAUAUGACAUACAGCUGACUUUGUGGCGUACACCUGUGAUUCUGGCUACUCAGGAGACUGAGGUAGCCCAAUCACUAAGUUCAAGGCCAGCCUGGGACACUAACCUAGAUCAUGUCUCAAAUAAGAUUGAAAAAAAAAAAUGUGAUUCUACAUCAUGUACAACCAGAAGAAUGAGAAGUGAUACCCCAUAUAUGGGAAUAACUUUGGGGUUUAUAUUUUGUUCCUGGUGAGCAGGAACAUACGUAUAAUAUGUCAAAAUACAUUCUACCGUUAUGUAUGAUUAAUAAGAACAAAUAAAAGCCAAGCCCGGUGGCGAACACCUGUCAUCCCAGCAUGUCAGGAGGCUGAGGCAGGAGGAUCACAAGUUGGAGGCCAGCCUCAGCAACUUCAUGAAACCCUGGCUUAAAAUUUUAGAAAUUUUCAAAAGACCAGGCUCAACCCGAAUACUCCUGCGUUUAUUCCCCAGAACCACUAGUAUAAAUAAAUGCAUAGGGUCCCACUAUCAGGGCCUCUAGCUCUCCCCUACCACUGAGCCACCACCCCAGCCCCCCGGGCCACUGUUCUGAUUCGCUCAGGCAUCCUCAUCCAGGUACUGGUUACCUCCAGAGGACCCUGUGGCACUUCCUCUAUCACAUCCAGGUUUCAGACAGGACCAAGGCGGAGUCAAAAUGACAAACUACUUUCUGGCUCAGUCAGAUCUUCUAUUUAUGACCCUGCCAGGAAGCCACCCUGAGCAACUUCCACUUAGACCUCAUGGCCUUAGAACCACGUCACCUGGCCACUUCUCUCUGCAGGGAACUCUGGGGACUUUGCUGUCCUGAACAAAUCAGGGUCCUGUUAGGAAAACAAGUCUGAGAACAGAUAGUGAGCAACAGCAUCACAGUAAAGCAUCAUUAAGUAACAGUCACCAAGUCCUUUAACUGCUGGGUUUCCAAAAAUUCUAGCAUUUAGCUGGGUUCGGUGGCCCUUAAUCCCAGCAGCAAGGGAGGCUGAGGCAGGAGGAUCACAAGUUGGAGGCCAGCCUCAGCCACUUAGCCAGGCCCUGAGCAACUCAGCGAGACCCUGUCUCUAAAUAAAAUAGAAAAAGGGCUGGGGACAGGGCUCAGGGGUUAAGCACCCCUGGGUUCAAUCCCUGGGACCUAAAAUAAAUUAAUUUUUUUAAAAAAGAUUAUUGGU
rnacentral:lncRNA from 1 species